rnacentral:rRNA from 2 species
UUGCCCCAGUAACGGCGAGUGAAGCGGCAACAGCUCAAAUUUGAAAUCUGGCCCCCAGGGCCCGAGUUGUAAUUUGCAGAGGAUGCUUUUGGCGCGGUGCCUUCCGAGUUCCCUGGAACGGGACGCCAUAGAGGGUGAGAGCCCCGUCUGGUCGGACGCCUAGCCUGUGUAAAGCUCCUUCGACGAGUCGAGUAGUUUGGGAAUGCUGCUCUAAAUGGGAGGUAUAUGUCUUCUAAAGCUAAAUACCGGCCAGAGACCGAUAGCGCACAAGUAGAGUGAUCGAAAGAUGAAAAGCACUUUGAAAAGAGGGUUAAAUAGUACGUGAAAUUGUUGAAAGGGAAGCGCUUGUGACCAGACUUGGGCCCGGUGGAUCAUCCAGCGUUCUCGCUGGUGCACUCCGCCGGGUUCAGGCCAGCAUCAGUUCGCCGCGGGGGAAAAAGGCUUCGGGAACGUGGCUCCUACGGGAGUGUUAUAGCCCGUUGCAUAAUACCCUGGGGCGGACUGAGGUUCGCGCUCCGCAAGGAUGCUGGCGUAAUGGUCAUCAGCGACCCGUCUUGAAACACGGACCCCUGUGUGAAAUUG